rnacentral:rRNA from 1 species
GUCGRCGAUGAACMCUUCGGUGGGGAUUAGKGGCGAACGGGUGAGUAACACGUGGGCRAUCUGCCCUUCACUCUGGGACAAGCCCUGGAAACGGGGUCUAAUACSGGAUACCACUACCGCAGGCAUCUGUGGUGGUUGAAAGCUCCGGCGGUGAAGGAUGAGCCCGCGGCCUAUCAGCUUGUUGGUGAGGUAAUGGCUCACCAAGGCGACGACGGGUAGCCGGCCUGAGAGGGCGACCGGCCACACUGGGACUGAGACACGGCCCAGACUCCUACGGGAGGCAGCAGUGGGGAAUAUUGCACAAUGGGCGAAAGCCUGAUGCAGCGACGCCGCGUGAGGGAUGACGGCCUUCGGGUUGUAAACCUCUUUCAGCAGGGAAGAAGCGAAAGUGACGGUACCUGCAGAAGAAGCGYYKKYUAACUACGUGCCAGCAGCCGCGGUAAUACGUAGGGCGCAAGCGUUGUCCGGAAUUAUUGGGCGUAUAGACCACCGUACGCGGCUUGUCACGUCGGGUGUGAAAGCCCGGGGCUUAACCCCGGGUCUGCAUUCGAUACGGGCUAGCUAGAGUGUGGUAGGGGAGAUCGGAAUUCCUGGUGUAGCGGUGAAAUGCGCAGAUAUCAGGAGGAACACCGGUGGCGAAGGCGGAUCUCUGGGCCAUUACUGACGCUGAGGAGCGAAAGCGUGGGGAGCGAACAGGAUUAGAUACCCUGGUAGUCCACGCCGUAAACGGUGGGAACUAGGUGUUGGCGACAUUCCACGUCGUCGGUGCCGCAGCUAACGCAUUAAGUUCCCCCGCCUGGGGGA